UCUCAAAGUGAGAAAAUUCUCAGCUCAAGAUUGUCUCAGAAUUGUCUGAGAAUUGUCUCAGCUGAGAAAUUUCUCACGUUGGCUUUCUCUAAACUUUUUCUCAAGUCUUGAGAUUUUUCUCAGCUGAGCCGUAAUUUUUUAAGACAUAAGCGGCCAAACAUCCAAGGAGCCGCGUGAACUUUCCCACGAACACGAGUGCAUAGUUCGGGGCAGUGGAUUUAUUCAUUUAUUGAGACGAAAUGAAGCGUUGAGAAAUGUUCAUAAACAACAUGUACAGUUUCGGGAUAUAUCCAGAUUGUAUGUUUGUACACUGUUGUACAAAAGUAUGGCAGUGUAUUUUCGAUAUUAUAAUUCAUCAGCUUCAAACCUGUCACUUUUGAACCAAUCAAACACACAGUCGAGGGUACUACGUCAUAUUGAAUGUGUUUUCUUUACCAAAUAUGGGAUUACGUAAACACAACCAUAUGUUGUUACACUACGUGUGACAAUUUUAUGUUAUCGGGCAUAUAUUUAUUGGAUUCAGAUAUGCAGCCGUCACAGCCUACUGAUGAAGAUCCUCAGCUUAUACAGAGGUCAGGCUUGAGCUAUGUGCUGAUUCAAAAGAUGCUAAUGACAGUGGAUAAUCCAUUCUGAGCUGUUCUAGGACCAUUCACCAAGGUUCCAAAACACUGAUGGAUCUGAAGGCAGUACCUGUAUUGGUGUCUGGUCUGUGAUUUCAAGUAUAAUUGAUGUACCUCCUCCUGAUGUAUCUCCUCGAAUACAAUAUAUCUGCCAUGUGAAAGGAACAAGCUGCAAGAUAUACUGUAGAAGUGGGGGCCUAUGUAAAAAACAUUUUAUUUAAAGAAUAUAAAAAAUCUGACACUAAACUACUGAAAAGGUGCACAGGGGGCAUUUUUGUGUGUAUAGACUUUCAUCAAGAUUCUGAGAAAGUUGAUUUAUCAAACAGAAAUAGUCAGAUUGUGUCUUCAAAGCUGAAAAGAUUAAGAUCUUAGGAAAACAUUUGGACUCAAGAAAAGUAUUGCGGUUAUGAAACUGUAGUGUUCAACAUUUAAAUUGUUUUUUGUUUUUAUUCACUACAUUUUGUGAAGAGGGUUCCAUCACAAGAUGCGACAUAUUGCCUGAUAUUGGUAAGAAUGAGAUGUAGUUUAUGAAAAAAAGUAUUUUGCUUUAAAUGUGCAGACUUUAAGUUACAUAAAAAAUCAAAGCUCUAACAAUAAAGCUUGAUUAAAAA
rnacentral:lncRNA from 1 species